rnacentral:rRNA from 1 species
AUUGAACGCUGGCGGCAUGCCUUACACACGCAAGUCGAACGGUAACAGGUCUUCGGAUGCUGACGAGUGGCGAACGGGUGAGUAAUACAUCGGAACGUGCCUAGUAGUGGGGGAUAACUACUCGAAAGAGUGGCUAAUACCGCAUGAGAUCUACGGAAGAAAGCAGGGGAUCGCAAGACCUUGUGCUACUAGAGCGGCCGAUGGCAGAUUAGGUAGUUGGUGGGAUAAAAGCUUACCAAGCCGACGAUCUGUAGCUGGUCUGAGAGGACGAGCAGCCACACUGGGACUGAGACACGGCCCAGACUCCUACGGGAGGCAGCAGUGGGGAGUUUUGGACAAUGGGCGCAAGCCUGAUCCAGCAAUGCCGCGUGCAGGAUGAAGGCCUUCGGGUUGUAAACUGCUUUUGUACGGAACGAAAAGCCCUGGGUUAAUACCCUGGGGUCAUGACGGUACCGUAAGAAUAAGCACCGGCUAACUACGUGCCAGCCGCCGCAGUAAGAC